UACAUGGGGUGCAAACGUUGCUCGGAAUUAUUGGGCGUAAAGCGCACGUAGGCGGUUCGUUAAGUCGGAUGUGAAAGCCCUCGGCUCAACUGAGGAAGUGCACCCGAAACUGGCGAGCUUGAGUACGAAAGAGGAUCGCGGAAUUCCCGGUGUAGAGGUGAAAUUCGUAGAUAUCGGGAGGAACACCGGUGGCGAAGGCGGCGACCUGGUCCUUUACUGACGCUGAGGCGCGAAAGCGUGGGGAGCAAACAGG
rnacentral:rRNA from 1 species